rnacentral:rRNA from 1 species
GAUGAACGCUAGCGGCAGGCCUAAUACAUGCAAGUCGGACGGGAUUGAGAAGCUUGCUUUUCAUGAGAGUGGCGCACGGGUGCGUAACACGUAUGUAACCUACCCAUAUCAGGGGGAUAGCCUCUCGAAAGAGAGAUUAAGACCGCAUAACAUUAUUGAAUGGCAUCAUUUAAUAAUCAAAUAUUUAUAGGAUAUGGAUGGGCAUGCGGAACAUUAGCUAGUUGGUAAGGUAACGGCUUACCAAGGCUACGAUGUUUAGGGGAUCUGAGAGGAUGACCCCCCACACUGGUACUGAGACACGGACCAGACUCCUACGGGAGGCAGCAGUAAGGAAUAUUGGGCAAUGGGCGGAAGUCUGAACCAGCCAUGCCGCGUGCAGGAAGACGGCCCUAUGGGUUGUAAACUGCUUUUGCAGGGGAAUAAACCUCGAUACGUGUAUCGAGCUGAAUGUACUCUGAGAAUAAGGAUCGGCUAACUCCGUGCCAGCCGCCGCCGUAA